rnacentral:misc_RNA from 1 species
GAUGAAGAACGCAGCGAAAUGCGAUACGUAAUGUGAAUUGCAGAAUUCAGUGAAUCAUCGAGUCUUUGAACGCACAUUGCGCCCCCUGGUAUUCCGGGGGGCAUGCCUGUCCGAGCGUCAUUGCUGCCCUCAAGCACGGCUUGUGUGUUGGGCCUCCGUCCUCCUCCCGGGGGACGGGCCCGAAAGGCAGCGGCGGCACCGCGUCCGGUCCUCGAGCGUAUGGGGCUUCGUCACCCGCUCUUGUAGGCCCGGCCGGCGCUUGCCUACACAUCAAUCUUUUUUCCAGGUUGACCUCGGAUCAGGUAGGGAUACCCGCUGAACUUAAGCAUAUCAAUAAGCGGAGGA